rnacentral:rRNA from 1 species
CCUAAGGUAGCGAAAUUCCUUGUCGGGUAAGUUCCGACCUGCACGAAUGGCGUAAUGAUGGCCAGGCUGUCUCCACCCGAGACUCAGUGAAAUUGAACUCGCUGUGAAGAUGCAGUGUACCCGCGGCAAGACGGAAAGACCCCGUGAACCUUUACUAUAGCUUGACACUGAACAUUGAGCCUUGAUGUGUAGGAUAGGUGGGAGGCUUUGAAGUGUGGACGCCAGUCUGCAUGGAGCCGACCUUGAAAUACCACCCUUUAAUGUUUGAUGUUCUAACGUUGGCCCCUGAUCGGGGUUGCGGACAGUGUCUGGUGGGUAGUUUGACUGGGGCGGUCUCCUCCUAAAGAGUAACGGAGGAGCACGAAGGUUGGCUAAUCCUGGUCGGACAUCAGGAGGUUAGUGCAAUGGCAUAAGCCAGCUUGACUGCGAGCGUGACGGCGCGAGCAGGUGCGAAAGCAGGUCAUAGUGAUCCGGUGGUUCUGAAUGGAAGGGCCAUCGCUCAACGGAUAAAAGGUACUCCGGGGAUAACAGGCUGAUACCGCCCAAGAGUUCAUAUCGACGGCGGUGUUUGGCACCUCGAUGUCGGCUCAUCGCAUCCUGGGGCUGUAGUCGGUCCCAAGGGUAUGGCUGUUCGCCAUUUAAAGAGGUACGUGAGCUGGGUUUAAAACGUCGUGAGACAGUUUGGUCCCUAUCUGCCGUGGGCGUUGGAAGAUUGACGGGGGCUGCUCCUAGUACGAGAGGACCGGAGUGGACGCACCUCUGGUGUAUCGGUUGUGACGCCAGUCGCAUUGCCGAGUAGCUAUGUGCGGAAGAGAUAACCGCUGAAAGCAUCUAAGCGGGAAACUUGCCUGAAGAUGAGUCUUCCCGGAGGUUGAACCUCCCUCAAGAGUCGUCCGAGACCAGGACGUCGAUAGGUCAGGUGUGUAAGCGCUGUAAGGCGUUGAGCUAACUGAUACUAAUUGCUCGUGAGGCUUGAUCCU